AAACGUUGUAACAUUGCUGUGAGUUAUUUCACAAACAUUGAUGAAAAACUAUUCCAGCAAAACAAAAAAUACGGAAACUUUAUAACAUGAAAACUUGAUUCCAAAGUAAUUCCUGCAGGAACAGAAACCUCCACCUCUGCCUCAUAAGUCACCUCCUUCCCAGUGAUCUCAGAGCACUUGGAGCAGCACAGCACAUUUCAGACACCAGAAACUCCUGAAUGUAGAAGCAAACUCAGAGCCAACACAUUUUACUACACAAAAGUUUACCAUGAACAGAAAUGUAAUUUGCAUGUUCUAUUUCCCUGGGUUUAUUCUAUUUCAUAAUGAAAAGCCUUCAACCCCAGGUAAAAAAAGUGAAGACAGAAAGCAGACUGUAAAUAACUGCCAAGUCAAAGAAACAUUAGAAACCAGAGCAAUAAAAAAUGAAAAAAUGAAGGUUUUUCUAGCUUGUAACAUUUGCAAGGUAACGAAC